rnacentral:rRNA from 1 species
CGCGCAGGCGGAUUGGCAAGUCAGAGGUGAAAUCCUGCGGCUUAACUGCAGAACUGCCUUUGAUACUGCCGGUCUUGAGUAUGGAAGAGAGAAGCGGGAUUCCAGGUGUAGUGGUGAAAUACGUAGAUAUCUGGAAGAACAUCAGUUGCGAAGGCGGCUUCUUGGUCCAUUACUGACGCUCAGGCGCGAAAGCGUGGGUAGCAAACA